AACGAACGCUGGCGGCAUGCUUUACACAUGCAAGUCGAACGGUAACAGGGAGCUUGCUCCGCUGACGAGUGGCGAACGGGUGAGUAAUGCGUCGGAACGUGCCGAGUAGUGGGGGAUAACGCAGCGAAAGUUGUGCUAAUACCGCAUACGUACUGAGGUAGAAAGUGGGGGACCUUCGGGCCUCACGCUAUUCGAGCGGCCGACGUCUGAUUAGCUAGUAGGUGAGGUAAAGGCUCACCUAGGCGACGAUCAGUAGCGGGUCUGAGAGGAUGAUCCGCCACACUGGGACUGAGACACGGCCCAGACUCCUACGGGAGGCAGCAGUGGGGAAUUUUGGACAAUGGGCGAAAGCCUGAUCCAGCCAUGCCGCGUGUCUGAAGAAGGCCUUCGGGUUGUAAAGGACUUUUGUCGGGGAGGAAAUCCCCAGCGCUAAUACCGCUGGGGGAUGACAGUGCCUGAAGAAUAAGCACCGGCUAACUACGUGCCAGCCGCCGCCGUAA
rnacentral:rRNA from 1 species